ACAAGAAAAUUUGGCGGGAGGGGCAGGAGAGGAGCAGUCAAAGUUUAAGCCUUCUCGUGAUUCGUGCAAAUCCUAAAACCCUCCUUAAACCUACAGACACAGCACAGAAGCACCCACGGAUAGACUAUAUGUAUUGUCGAGAGAGAGAGAGAGAGAGAGAGAGAGCGAAUCAAACCAAGUGAAAGUGUAAAGGAAAACAAAAAACCAAAAAGCAAGAAACAAUGGUAGCUGCAACUCCAACCCAAUCUCUUUGUCAUGGCUCUUCUUCCUUGUCCUGGAGGCACAUCUUAUUGGAAAGCUGUCUCCAAUCCUCAAGAGGUAGCAGUGAUGCAUGCUUUAUGGACUUUGAAUGGUUCAAGUUUCAUACAGGAGUGAGCUCGCAAUUCUGCACAUCACUGCUGGAGUACAUAAAGCGAUAAGUGGUUUGUGGAGUAGGGAAUGAAGCUAUUGGUCCGUUGUGCAUCUAAAAAAUGUUACAAUUUGAUAGUUCUUGUGGAAGAAUUCAGAGAUCUUGACGUAUUUUGGAUUGUAGUCGUUGUACUGAAACUCUAUGGUCAUUCCAUAGGCUGAUUCUGUAAUUGUAUCGACUACGUUGUAUCUGAUUCAUCGUGAAGAAAUCUAAAUUUUAUUUUCCCCUUC